rnacentral:lncRNA from 1 species
CUUACCUUAGGGAUUGGGAGUGUUUAUUUUAUGUGAAGCAUUUAUAGAUUGUUUAGCUUGGAUCUCGAUCCUAUAUGUAUUAUUUUAUAAGAUAAUCCCAAAGAAUCUAAGAGAUAUAACUUCUACCAUGCUAAAGAAUAAGAGUUGUUCAGUAUUUCUUUCAGAAAAUGAGUACCUUGGUGAAAGUACUAGUGCCUUUAAUAUAGAACUUAUGAAGUUCAACAGAUAGAAGAACCGACACAAUCUAGUGAACCCAUAAAAUCGAAUUUGAUUAGAUCAAACUCAGAACCCGUUGUAGAGGCCUCAUUAAGGAGAUCUGGUAGAGUACCACGUCUGUCAGAUAGAUACUUCGAAUUUCAGUUUCAAGAUGUGAUCCUAUUGAACUCGAUGAGAACAACAAGGAUUUGAUCACCUACAUCGAUGCCAUGUAGAGGUCCAACUCCAAUUAAUGGCUUGGAGCCAUAGAGUCUGAAAGGAAGUCCAUAAUGG